rnacentral:tRNA from 1 species
UAGAAUCUAGUGUAGUAUGGUAGCACGAAGAUUUUUGAAUUCUUAGGGGCAGGUUCAAUUCCUGUAAUUCUAG